UACGUAGGGGGCAAGCGUUGUCCGGAAUUAUUGGGCGUAAAGAGCGUGUAGGCGGUCCGGUAAGUCGGUUGUGAAAGUCCAGGGCUCAACCCUGGGAUGCCGAUCGAUACUGCCGGACUAGAGUCCGGAAGAGGCGAGUGGAAUUCCCGGUGUAGCGGUGAAAUGCGCAGAUAUCGGGAGGAACACCAAUGGCGAAGGCAGCUCGCUGGGACGGUACUGACGCUGAGGCGCGAAAGCCAGGGGAGCAAACGGG
rnacentral:rRNA from 1 species